AAAUGUGUCUCAACAAAGUAUUGGUAAUAUUACACAUAUUUUUCGUACAGAAAGUUGUGACGCAAUCGCUGCAAAAUUGGCCCAAUUUUUCAUUAAGAAGACCUACAUAUCCUUCAUACCAGAGUUCUUUAGUACCUAUACUUAGAAAUGGUUUAAAACAGGCAAUAGAAGAUAACAUAAUGCUGUCAAAUGGAUCACCAUUCCCCUCAAUACGAUUCAAUAGCUCGCCAUUCUCCAAUGCAUUACAGCCAGGGCGAGGCUGGUCAAGCUUCUUAAGAAAUGAUAUACCAGUUAUAAGUCGUAUGCCUUUCGAAUAUGAGCCUGUUAUGUCUGGCCUUUACAAUGUAAAUCAGGGCGUAGGUAGGCCAGGCCCUUUGAGUCCUCUGCAAACUUUGACCUUAAAUAAUCUUUUAGCAAAUGUACCGUGUAGUAGGAUAGGUUUUAUUGACGAAGAGACCCAUGUAGCGGGCUUUUCUUUGCCAUCAACAUAUACAGUAAUAAAAAAUCCAAUCGUACAAACAAACAGUUUAGGAAAUCUUUACAAGCUAUCAAACUAUCUGUCUCUCCAAUAAACAACAGAAAAUUUGG